GACGAACGCUGGCGGCGUGCUUAACACAUGCAAGUCGAACGGAAAGGCCCGGCGUUUGUGGGGUGCUCGAGUGGCGAACGGGUGAGUAACACGUGAGUAACCUGCCCUUGACUUUGGGAUAACUUCAGGAAACUGGGGCUAAUACCGGAGAGGAGCUCCUGCUGCAUGGUGGGGGUUGGAAAGUUUCGGCGGUUGGGGAUGGACUCGCGGGUUAUCAGCUUGUUGGUGGGGUAGUGGCUUACCAAGGCUUUGACGGGUAGCCGGCCUGAGAGGGUGACCGGCCACAUUGGGACUGAGAUACGGCCCAGACUCCUACGGGAGGCAGCAGUGGGGAAUAUUGCACAGUGGGCGGAAGCCUGAUGCAGCAACGCCGCGUGCGGGAUGACGGCCUUCGGGUUGUAAACCGCUUUCGCCUGUGACGAAGCGUGAGUGACGGUAAUGGGUAAAGAAGCACCGGCUAACUACGUG
rnacentral:rRNA from 1 species